rnacentral:misc_RNA from 1 species
GAUGAAGAACGCAUCGAAAUGCGAUAAGUAAUGUGAAUUGCAGAAUUCAGUGAAUCAUCGAAUCUUUGAACGCACAUUGCGCCCGGUAGUAAUCUGCCGGGCAUGCCUGUCCGAGCGUCAUUUCAACCCUCGAACCACUAUUCGCGUAGCUGGAUCGGUGUUGGGGCACUACGGUGGAAUACCCGUAGGCCCCGAAAUGAAGUGGCGGUCCCGCCGCGGCGCCCCCAUGCGUAGUAACAUCUCGUCUCGCAUCGGGUCCCGGCGGAGGCCUGCCGUCAAGCCUAUUUUCUAAUUACAGAUGGUUUGACCUCGGAUCAGGUAGGGUUACCCGCUGAACUUAAGCAUAUCAAUAAGCGGAGGA